UGGGAUGCAGAAGAAAUGCAUGGAGCAAUA
rnacentral:piRNA from 1 species